rnacentral:rRNA from 1 species
UACGUAGGGGGCAAGCGUUGUCCGGAUUUAUUAGGCGUAAAGAGCGUGUAGGCGGCCAUACAGGUCAGCUGUGAAAACUCGAGGCUCAACCUCGAGACGUCGGUUGAAACCGUAUGGCUAGAGUCCGGAAGAGGGGAGUGGAAUUCCCGGUGUAGCGGUGAAAUGCGCAGAUAUCGGGAAGAACACCCGUGGCGAAGGCGGCUCUCUGGGACGGUACUGACGCUGAGACGCGAAAGCGUGGGGAGCGAACAGG